rnacentral:rRNA from 1 species
GACGAACGCUGGCGGCGUGCUUAACACAUGCAAGUCGAACGGAAAGGCCCUGCUUUUGUGGGGUGCUCGAGUGGCGAACGGGUGAGUAGCACGUGAGUAACCUGCCCUUGACUUUGGGAUAACUUCAGGAAACUGGGGCUAAUACCGGAUAGGAGCUCCUGCUGCAUGGUGGGGGUUGGAAAGUUUCGGCGGUUGGGGAUGGACUCGCGGCUUAUCAGCUUGUUGGUGGGGUAGUGGCUUACCAAGGCUCUGACGGGUAGCCGGCCUGAGAGGGUGACCGGCCACAUUGGGACUGAGAUACGGCCCAGACUCCUACGGGAGGAAGCAGUGGGGAAUAUUGCACAAUGGGCGGAAGCCUGAUGCAGCAACGCCGCGUGCGGGAUGACGGCCUUCGGGUUGUAAACCGCUUUCGCCUGUGACGAAGCGUGAGUGACGGUAAUGGGUAAAGAAGCACCGGCUAACUACGU